UACGUAGGGUGCGAGCGUUGUCCGGAAUUAUUGGGCGUAAAGGGCUCGUAGGCGGUUUGUCGCGUCGGGAGUGAAAUCCACUGGCUUAACUGGUGGCUUGCUUUCGAUACGGGCAGACUGGAGGUAUGCAGGGGGAGAACGGAAUUCCUGGUGUAGCGGUGAAAUGCGUAGAUAUGCGGAGGAACACCGAUGGCGAAGGCAGCUCUCUGGGACGGUACUGACGCUGAGACGCGAAAGCGUGGGGAGCGAACAGG
rnacentral:rRNA from 1 species